AGUGAACGCUGGCGGUAGGCCUAACACAUGCAAGUCGAGCGGAAGCACAGUAAGAGCUUGCUCUUAAGGGUGGCGAGUGGCGGACGGGUGAGGCAUACAUAGGAAUCUACUUUUUCGGGGGGGACAACGGAGGGAAACAUACGAUAAUACAGCAUACGACCUACGGGAGAAAGCAGGAGAGCUUCGGACCUUGCGCGAUUGAAAGAGCCGAUGUCGGGUUGCAUAGUUGGCGGGGUAAAGGCCCACCCAGGCGACGAAACGUAGCAGGUCUGAGAGGAUGAUCCGCCCCCCUGGAACUUAGGCACGGUCCCGACUCCUACGGGAGGCCGCAGUGGGGAAUUUUGCCGAAUGGGCGCAAGCCUGAUCCAGCCAUGCCGCGUGAGUGAUGAAGGUCUUCGGGUUGUAAAACUCUUUUGUUGGGAAAGAACAGCAGCGUGUUAAUCCCCCGCUGUUUUGACGGUACCUAAACAAUAAGCACCGGCUAACUUCGUG
rnacentral:rRNA from 1 species